rnacentral:rRNA from 1 species
AUACGGAGGGAGCGAGCGUUAAUCGGAAUUACUGGGCGUAAAGCGCGCGUAGGCGGCUUUGUAAGUCGGAUGUGAAAGCCCUGGGCUUAACCUGGGAAUGGCAUUCGAUACUGCAGGGCUAGAGUAUGGUAGAGGAAAGUGGAAUUCCCGGUGUAGCGGUGAAAUGCGUAGAUAUCAGGAGGAACACCAGUGGCGAAGGCGGCUUUCUGGACCAAUACUGACACUGAGGCGCGAAAGCGUGGGGAGCAAACAGGAUUAGAAACCCCAGUAGUCC